GACGAACGCUGGCGGCGUGCUUAACACAUGCAAGUCGAACGAUGAAGCCUAGCUUGCUAGGUGGAUUAGUGGCGAACGGGUGAGUAAUACGUGAGUGACCUACCUUUGACUCUGGGAUAAGCCUGGGAAACUGGGUCUAAUACCGGAUACGACCAAUCUCUGCAUGGGGUGUUGGUGGAAAGCGUUAAGGAGUGGUUUUAGAUGGGCUCACGGCCUAUCAGCUUGUUGGUGAGGUAAUGGCUUACCAAGGCGACGACGGGUAGCCGGCCUGAGAGGGUGACCGGCCACACUGGGACUGAGACACGGCCCAGACUCCUACGGGAGGCAGCAGUGGGGAAUAUUGCACAAUGGGCGCAAGCCUGAUGCAGCGACGCCGCGUGAGGGAUGACGGCCUUCGGGUUGUAAACCUCUGUUAGCACCGAAGAAGCGAAAGUGACGGUAGGUGCAGAGAAAGCGCCGGCUAACUACGUGCCAGCAGCCGCGGUAAUACGUAGGGCGCGAGCGUUGUCCGGAAUUAUUGGGCGUAAAGAGCUUGUAGGCGGUUGGUCGCGUCUGCUGUGAAGGCCGGGGCUUAACUCCGGUUUUGCAGUGGGUACGGGCUAACUAGAGUGCAGUAGGGGAGACUGGAAUUCCUGGUGUAGCGGUGGAAUGCACAGAUAUCAGGAGGAACACCGAUGGCGAAGGCAGGUCUCUGGGCUGUAACUGACGCUGAGAAGCGAAAGCAUGGGGAGCGAACAGGAUUAGAUACCCUGGUAGUCCAUGCCGUAAACGUUGGGCACUAGGUGUGGGGGACAUUCCACGUUUUCCGCGCCGUAGCUAACGCAUUAAGUGCCCCGCCUGGGGAGUACGGCCGCAAGGCUAAAACUCAAAGGAAUUGACGGGGGCCCGCACAAGCGGCGGAGCAUGCGGAUUAAUUCGAUGCAACGCGAAGAACCUUACCAAGGCUUGACAUGCAUUAGAUCGCGUCAGAGAUGGCGUUUCCCUUCGGGGCUGGUGUACAGGUGGUGCAUGGUUGUCGUCAGCUCGUGUCGUGAGAUGUUGGGUUAAGUCCCGCAACGAGCGCAACCCUCGUUCUAUGUUGCCAGCGGUUCGGCCGGGGACUCAUAGGAGACUGCCGGGGUUAACUCGGAGGAAGGUGGGGAUGACGUCAAAUCAUCAUGCCCCUUAUGUCUUGGGCUUCACGCAUGCUACAAUGGCCGGUACAGAGGGUUGCGAUACUGUGAGGUGGAGCUAAUCCCUUAAAGCCGGUCUCAGUUCGGAUUGGGGUCUGCAACUCGACCCCAUGAAGUCGGAGUCGCUAGUAAUCGCAGAUCAGCAACGCUGCGGUGAAUACGUUCCCGGGCCU
rnacentral:rRNA from 1 species